CAACGAUGAAGAACGCAGCGAAAUGCGAUACGUAGUGUGAAUUGCAGAAUUCCGCGAAUCAUCGAGUCUUUGAACGCAAGUUGCGCCCGAGGCUUGUCCAAGGGCAUUUCCGCUAGAGCGUC
rnacentral:rRNA from 1 species